rnacentral:rRNA from 1 species
GACGAACGCUGGCGGCGUGCUUAACACAUGCAAGUCGAACGGAAAGGCCCUGCUUGCCGGGUACUCGAGUGGCGAACGGGUGAGUAACACGUGGGUGAUCUGCCCUGCACUUCGGGAUAAGCCUGGGAAACUGGGUCUAAUACCGGAUAGGAGCCAUUUUUAGUGUGAUGGUUGGAAAGUUUUUUCGGUGUAGGAUGAGCUCGCGGCCUAUCAGCUUGUUGGUGGGGUAAUGGCCUACCAAGGCGGCGACGGGUAGCCGGCCUGAGAGGGUGGACGGCCACAUUGGGACUGAGAUACGGCCCAGACUCCGACGGGAGGCAGCAGUGGGGAAUAUUGCGCAAGGGGCGCAAGCCUGAUGCAGCGACGCCGCGUGGGGGAUGACGGCCUUCGGGUUGUAAACUCCUUUCGCUAGGGACGAAGCUUUUUGUGACGGUACCUAGAGAAGAAGCACCGGCUAACUACGUG